GCCUGGUGUGGUGGCACAUGCCUGUAGUCCCAGCUCCUUGGGAGGUUGAGGUGGGAGGACAGCUUGAACUCGGGAGGUAGAGGCUGCACUACAGCUUAGGUGACAAAGUGAGACCAUGCCUCUAAAAAUAUUUUUUUAAAAAAAAUAUUUUUAGAGGCAUGGUCUCACUUUGUCACCUAAGCUGUAGUGCAGCCUCUACCUCCCGAGUUCAAGCUGUCCUCCCACCUCAA
rfam:Chlorocebus sabaeus isolate 1994-021 chromosome 11, whole genome shotgun sequence.